rnacentral:rRNA from 1 species
GACGUACGCUGGCGGCGUGCUUAACACAUGCAAGUCGAACGGUAAGGCCCCAGCUUGCUGGGGUACACGAGUGGCGAACGGGUGAGUAACACGUGGGUGACCUGCCCCGCACUUCGGGAUAAGCCUGGGAAACUGGGUCUAAUACCGGAUAGGACCGCACCGUGAGGGUGUGGUGGAAAGUUUUUCGGUGUGGGAUGGGCCCGCGGCCUAUCAGCUUGUUGGUGGGGUAAUGGCCUACCAAGGCGGCGACGGGUAGCCGGCCUGAGAGGGUGGACGGCCACAUUGGGACUGAGACACGGCCCAGACUCCUACGGGAGGCAGCAGUGGGGAAUAUUGCACAAUGGGCGGAAGCCUGAUGCAGCGACGCCGCGUGGGGGAUGACGGCCUUCGGGUUGUAAACUCCUUUCACCAUCGACGAAGGUUUUCUGACGGUAGAUGGAGAAGAAGCACCGGCUAACUACGUG